GGAGAGGUGCCGGAGUGGCCGAACGGGCUUGACUCGAAAUCAAGAGAAGGCGUUAGUCUUCCGUGGGUUCGAAUCCCACCCUCUCCGCCA
rnacentral:tRNA from 1 species